rnacentral:tRNA from 1 species
GUUGUGGCUCAGAGGUAGAGCGCUUACCUAGCAUGCGUGAUGUACUGGGUUCUAUUCUCAGCACAACA